rnacentral:rRNA from 2 species
AAAUUGAAGAGUUUGAUCAUGGCUCAGAUUGAACGCUGGCGGCAGGCCUAACACAUGCAAGUCGAACGGUAACAGGAAGAAGCUUGCUUCUUUGCUGACGAGUGGCGGACGGGUGAGUAAUGUCUGGGAAACUGCCUGAUGGAGGGGGAUAACUACUGGAAACGGUAGCUAAUACCGCAUAACGUCGCAAGACCAAAGAGGGGGACCUUCGGGCCUCUUGCCAUCGGAUGUGCCCAGAUGGGAUUAGCUAGUAGGUGGGGUAACGGCUCAC